GUAUAGCCCCUCGGAGUACUAUCCUUUCAUUAGCAAUUUGAGUGACUGUAUCAUAAAGUUUAUAUCUGUGUGUAUAUAUAUAUAUAUGUGUGUGUGUGUAUACAUACAUGUACUUGUAUGUUCAUUGCAUAUAUUUGCAUAUAUACAUAUAAGUGUGUAUGUAGAUAUGUUACAUACCUGUGUGUUCCUGACUGCAAGUUAGGUAUUAUUAUCCCCAUUAGCAAGUGAUAGAGUAUCCAUCUGAUAGUUACCUCAAGCAAUGGGAGUUUGUAUUUCUAGCUGACAGGAACUCCAGAAAGAGGAAGUUGCAGUUUCUGGUUAGGUAGCUCAGUUUUUUACAGGUUGGUAUCUGUAGUUUUCUUAGACUUUUCCUCAUGGCUUCCACAGAUCCAGGCAGCAUCCCUGAAUUCCAAGCCAGACCAAGGAAGGAGAUACACCUAUUCCAUCUGACUCUCUUGUUGGAAAGAUGGUGGACUCUACGGUUUCCCUCUGAAGUUGUGUUGGGAAGAUCAAUGUCUCCUGGCUGUCCCUUGCUGCAAAGAAGGCUGAGGAACAUUUGAAAAUCACAUUAUAAAUAGAUCUGUUUUGAAGAUACCAGUGAUUUCACAAUCAGCUCAUAUAAUUUCUGAAAAUUGGACAAGAGGUUUUUGAUGACCGGCUUCACCACACUGCGGGUAGGUACUUUAAUUGUCUCAUUUUGAGCCACCCUGAUUAUUUGCUUUCUUAAGAAGUAAAGCUUCUCUUCUUUGGGACAAUUAUGUCUUCACUUUCACUGACUGCACCUCGUCCUUUCAGGUACUGUGCUGAUUUCAAUCAUUCAGUUUUGUUUGCUGCUUCUCUGAUUUCUCUGUAGUAGGGAAACUGUGAAGAGGAAGUGGAGUAAGAGGGAGGGGUGGUGGAGAAGUCUUCCCACUAGAAGACUUACCCUUCCCUCAAAUCUAGAAAUAGAUAACAUGCUUUAAUGCCAGAGUGUGAUCUGUACAACUGUGUGAUCCUGUCCCAGUUUGUUUUUCCAUUCUGGUUGAU
rnacentral:lncRNA from 1 species